rnacentral:tRNA from 1 species
UGAGUUGUAGCUCAUGUAGUAGAGUGUUUGCCUAGUAUGCAGGAAGAUNUGGGUUCAAGCCCCAGCACUGCAU